AUUGAACGCUGGCGGCAGGCCUAACACAUGCAAGUCGAGCGGAUGAAGAGAGCUUGCUCUCUGAUUCAGCGGCGGACGGGUGAGUAAUGCCUAGGAAUCUGCCUGGUAGUGGGGGACAACGUUUCGAAAGGAACGCUAAUACCGCAUACGUCCUACGGGAGAAAGCAGGGGGACCUUCGGGCCUUGCGCUAUCAGAUGAGCCUAGGUCGGAUUAGCUAGUAGGUGAGGUAAUGGGCUCACCUAGGCGACGAUCCGUAACUGGUCUGAGAGGAUGAUCAGUCACACUGGAACUGAGACACGGUCCAGACUCCCACGGGAGGCAGCAGUGGGGAAUAUUGGACAAUGGGCGAAAGCCCUGAUCCAGCCAUGCCGCGUGUGUGAAGAAGGUCUUCGGA
rnacentral:rRNA from 1 species